AAACUUAAAGGAAUUGACGGGGCCCGCACAAGCGGUGGAGCAUGUGGUUAAUUCGAAGCAACGCGAAGAACCUUACCGGUCUUGACAUCCCGAUGCUAUUUCUAGAGAUAGAAAGUUACUUCGGUACAUCGGUGACAGGUGGUGCAUGGUUGUCGUCAGCUCGUGUCGUGAGAUGUUGGGUUAAGUCCCGCAACGAGCGCAACCCCUAUUGUUAGUUGCCAUCAUUCAGUUGGGCACUCUAGCGAGACUGCCGGUAAUAAACCGGAGGAAGGUGGGGAUGACGUCAAAUCAUCAUGCCCCUUAUGACCUGGGCUACACACGUGCUACAAUGGUUGGUACAACGAGUUGCGAGUCGGUGACGGCGAGCUAAUCUCUUAAAGCCAAUCUCAGUUCGGAUUGUAGGCUGCAACUCGCCUACAUGAAGUCGGAAUCGCUAGUAAUCGCGGAUCAGCACGCCGCGGUGAAUACGUUCCCGGGCCUU
rnacentral:rRNA from 1 species